CCAUGAUGUCGACGACGGGCUUGAUGUCUUCGGCUUCGGGCGCGGCGACCACUUCUUCACCGGCGAUCUUGGCGUCGAUCAUGGCCC
rnacentral:tRNA from 1 species